AUUGAACGCUGGCGGCGUGCUUAACACAUGCAAGUCGAACGAUGAACCGGAGCUUGCUCUGGGGAUUAGUGGCGAACGGGUGAGUAACACGUGGGCAACCUGCCCCAGACACCGGGAUAACCAUUCGAAAGGAUGGCUAAUACCGGAUACGACCACUUCGGGCAUCCGAUGGUGGUGGAAAGGAUUCUGGUCUGGGAUGGGCCCGCGGCCUAUCAGCUUGUUGGUGGGGUAAUGGCCUACCAAGGCGACGACGGGUAGCCGGCCUGAGAGGGCGACCGGCCACACUGGGACUGAGACACGGCCCAGACUCCUACGGGAGGCAGCAGUGGGGAAUAUUGCGCAAUGGGCGAAAGCCUGACGCAGCGACGCCGCGUGAGGGACGAAGGUCUUCGGAUUGUAAACCUCUUUCAGCAGGGAUGAAGCGAAAGUGACAGUACCUGCAGAAGAAGCACCGGCUAACUACGUGCCAGCAGCCGCAGUAAGAC
rnacentral:rRNA from 1 species